rnacentral:misc_RNA from 1 species
UAAUCCAUCGCGAUUCCUCCCAUCUAGGUGAUCUUCAGUUCUUGCAUUCAGUCUAACAACUGUUAGAAAUUUAACAACCAGCCACGGAGGCAAGUCCAUGCUGACGCCGACCAGCCCCGGAACAUCGCUUUACCCUCAUUUGCUAUCUUCGCUAAAGGUAGGGCGGACCACGUUGCGUAACCGCAUGAUCAUGGGGUCGAUGCACACCCGUCUCGAUAUGGAGGACAACGGCGUGCACAAGAUGGCGGUUUUCCUUGCCGAGCGCGCCA